rnacentral:rRNA from 1 species
CUUUGGAUUGUAAACUCCUGUCAGCAGGGAAAAAGGGGCCUGGCCACACCAGGUCAUUGAUUGUACCUGCAGAGGAAGCCCCGGCUAACUCUGUGCCAGCAGCCGCGGUAAUACAGAGGGGGCAAGCGUUAUUCGGAAUUAUUGGGCGUAAAGGGCGCGUAGGCGGCUUGGCAAGUGGAAGGUGAAAUCCCUCGGCUCAACCGAGGAACUGCCUUCUAAACUGCUUUGAUUGAGUCCGGGAGAGGUCAGUGGAAUUCCCAGUGUAGCGGUGAAAUGCGUAGAUAUUGGGAGGAACACCAGUGGCGAAGGCGGCUGACUGGACCGGUACUGACGCUGAGGCGCGAAAGCGUGGGGAGCAAACGGGAUUAGAUACCCCGGUAGUCCACGCCGUAAACGAUGAAUGCUUGGUGUAGCGGGUAUCGACCCCUGCUGUGCCGAAGUCAACACAUUAAGCAUUCCGCCUGGGGAGUACGGUCGCAAGGCUGAAACUCAAAGGAAUU